CCUACGGGUGGCAGCAGUGAGGAAUAUUGGUCAAUGGACGAGAGUCUGAACCAGCCAAGUAGCGUGAAGGAUGACUGCCCUAUGGGUUGUAAACUUCUUUUAUAUGGGAAUAAAAUGUUCCACGUGUGGGAUUUUGUAUGUACCAUAUGAAUAAGGCUCGGCUAACUCCGUGCCAGCAGCCGCGGUAAUACGGAGGAUCCGAGCGUUAUCCGGAUUUAUUGGGUUUAAAGGGAGCGUAGGUGGGUUGUUAAGUCAGUUGUGAAAGUUUGCGGCUCAACCGUAAAAUUGCAGUUGAAACUGGCAGUCUUGAGUACAGGAGAGGUGGGCGGAAUUCGUGGUGUAGCGGUGAAAUGCUUAGAUAUCACGAAGAACUCCGAUUGCGAAGGCAGUUCACUGGACUGCAACUGACACUGAGGCUCGAAAGUGUGGGUAUCAAACAGGAUUAGAUACCCUUGUAGUC
rnacentral:rRNA from 1 species